GCUUUAGGGUAAGAAAGACUCCCUAAAUACCAAGUCAGACACCAGAUUGAAGUGCUUCUGCUACCUACUAGCUGUGUUAAUCCGGGCAAGCCACGUCAACGCUUCUGAGCCUCAGUCUUCUCAGCUGUAAAAUAAGAUGAUAAUAUCACCUAUUCUAUGGAUUGGUGUAUGGAAAAGCGGAAAUUGCGAGUGAAGUUAUUAGUACAGCUAUUAAUACAAUUCUUUCUAGCAAGUAUUCAAAAUGUGUGUUGGUGAAGAGGCUGACGACAAGCCUUCCCCUUCCCUUGCAUCCUCCCAAUCCACUCUCCAGAGACCCUGAGAAACAAGAAAGGCCGUGGUCACUCCACAGAAGAGGACGCAGACGAAGGAUUUGCUCCAGGGCUCGGCGGAGUAUCAGACCUGCUGAUCCACAGGACCGGCGGGGUCUGGCGGAAACCAGCAGAGCCAACCCUCCCGGGGCUUGGGAGGCGCUGACUCAGCGGAAUGGAACCGGACCUUGGCGCCCCCACCCCCACCCCACUCUCCCGGCAGAGUUGGAGGUUGGCGCCUGGGGAGGGGAUCUUCCCCAGCCAGGGAUCUUACCGGCAUCUCCUGCACUGGCAGGCGGAUUCUUUACCGCUGAGCCCCCAGGGAAGACCUCAGUUUGCGCAUCUGUACAAUGGGAGCCAGAAGGUUGAUGCUGAAGAAACACUUGGGAGAUUAACUGCGAAAACACAAUUAUGAACGCUGCAGACACAAAACGAAUGUUAGAGACUUGGCUUUGGAAGGGCUCCACUG